rnacentral:rRNA from 1 species
CACGUAGGGCGCAAGCGUUGUCCGGAAUUAUUGGGCGUAAAGAGCUCGUAGGCGGUCUGUUACGUCUGCUGUGAAAACCCAGGGCUUAACCCUGGGCUUGCAGUGGAUACGGGCAGACUAGAGGCAGGUAGGGGAGAAUGGAAUUCCUGGUGUAGCGGUGAAAUGCGCAGAUAUCAGGAAGAACACCCGUGGCGAAGGCGGCUCUCUGGGACGGUACUGACGCUGAGACGCGAAAGCGUGGGGAGCGAACAGG